rnacentral:rRNA from 1 species
AAUAGAUACCCCGGUAGUCCACGCCGUAAACGAUGUCGACUAGGUGUCGGGGGUAUCGACCCCCUCGGCGCCGCAGCUAACGCAUUAAGUCGACCGCCUGGGGACUACGGCCGCAAGGCUAAAACUCAAAGGAAAUUGAACGGGGGCCCGCACGAAGCAGCGGAGCGUGUGGUUUAAUUCGAUGCAACGCGCAGAACCUUACCUCGGCUUGACAUGCACGUGGUACUGACCCGAAAGGGAAGGGACCCGCGAGGGAGCGUGCACAGAUGCUGCAUGGCUGUCGUCAGCUCGUGCCGUGAGGUGUUGGGUUAAGUCCCGCAACGAGCGCAACCCUUGUCCUUAGUUGCUCUUUCUAAGGAGACCGCCGGUCUAAACCGGAGGAAGGUGGGGAUGACGUCAAGUCAGGCACGGCUCUUACGUCGAGGGCUACACACACGCUACAAUGGCCGGUACAACGGGCUGCGAAGGGGCGACCUGGAGCUAAUCCCACCAAAGCCGGUCUCAGUUCGGAUUGCAGGCUGCAACUCGCCUGCAUGAAGUCGG